rnacentral:other from 1 species
AAAGCGUCUAGCCAUGGCGUUAGUAUGAGUGUCGUACAGCCUCCAGGCCCCCCCCUCCCGCGAGAGCAUAGUGGUCUGCGGAACCGGUGAGUACACCGGAAUUACCGGGAAGACUGGGUCCUUUCUUGGAUACAACCCGCUCAAUGCCUGGACGAUUUGGGCGUGCCCCCGCGAGACUGCUAGCCGAGUAGUUGUUGGGUCGCGAAAGGCCUUGUGGUACUGCCUGAUAGGGUGCUUGCG